AUGGGGACAAUACCGCCUGCGGAACCAGCUUCUUCAGGCAAGAGAUCUAAGGAGGACGGCGCGCCCACGGGCGUGGCAGAUGCUGAUCUGGAAGCAAUGAUGGCGGAGCUCGGAUUGAAGGAAGGAGACUUGCAAGAUGUCGUGGUUGAGGAGGAGGAACUCCCUGAAGAAUCAACCAGAUGGAUGGCCCUUGCUAGGGUUCAUACAAAGAAAACGUACAGCCAAUAUUGGUUUUUCAAGAACAUGAGGGUUGCUUGGGAUCUGGCCAAGGAGGUGAAAAUCAGACCGCUGGAAGACAAUCUGUACACGCUGCAAUUCUUGUGCCUAGGCGACUGGGAACGGGUAAUGCAAGAUGGCCCUUGGACGUUCAAGGGAAAAGCGGUGGUCAUUACUCCUUAUGAUGGUUUCACAAAGCCCUCCCUGAUUGAUCUCACAAAAAUAGAAAUAUGGAUG
rnacentral:rRNA from 1 species